rnacentral:rRNA from 1 species
UACGGAGGGAGCUAGCGUUGUUCGGAAUUACUGGGCGUAAAGCGCACGUAGGCGGCUUUUUAAGUCAGGGGUGAAAUCCCGGGGCUCAACCCCGGAACUGCCUUUGAAACUGGAAAGCUAGAAUCUUGGAGAGGCGAGUGGAAUUCCGAGUGUAGAGGUGAAAUUCGUAGAUAUUGGGAGGAACACCGGUGGCGAAGGCGGCCAUCUGGGCUACAACUGACGCUGAGGCGCGAGAGCGUGGGGAGCAAACAGG